rnacentral:rRNA from 1 species
CGAACGGGUGAGUAACGCGUGAGGAACCUGCCUCAAAGAGGGGGACGACAGUUGGAACGACUGCUAAUACCGCAUAAGCCCACGGCUCGGCAUCGAGCAGAGGGAAAAGGAGCAAUCCGCUUUGAGAUGGCCUCGCGUCCGAUUAGCUAGUUGGUGAGGUAACGGCCCACCAAGGCGACGAUCGGUAGCCGGACUGGGAGGUUGAACGGCCACAUUGGGACUGAGACACGGCCCAG